CUUCCGUAGGGGUGACCUGUGGAAGGAUCAUUACCUAGAGUUUGUGGGCUUUGCCCACUGUCUCUUACCCAUGUCUUUUGAGUACUUACGUUUCCUCGGUGGGCUCGCCCGCCGGUUGGACAAUUUAAACCAUUUGCAGUUGCAAUCAGCGUCUGAAAAACAUAAUAGUUACAACUUUCAACAACGGAUCUCUUGGUUCUGGCAUCGAUGAAGAACGCAGCGAAAUGCGAUAAGUAGUGUGAAUUGCAGAAUUCAGUGAAUCAUCGAAUCUUUGAACGCACAUUGCGCCCCUUGGUAUUCCAUGGGGCAUGCCUGUUCGAGCGUCAUUUGUACCUUCAAGCUCUGCUUGGUGUUGGGUGUUUGUCUCGCCUUGCGCGUAGACUCGCCUUAAAACAAUUGGCAGCCGGCGUAUUGAUUUCGGAGCGCAGUACAUCUCGCGCUUUGCACUCAUAACGACGACGUCCAAAAGUACUUUUUACACUCUUGACCUCGGAUCAGGUAGGGAUACCCGCUGAACUUAAAAAUAUCAAUAAGCCGGAGGA
rnacentral:rRNA from 1 species